GACGAACGCUGGCGGCGUGCUUAACACAUGCAAGUCGAACGGAAAGGCCCUGCUUUUGUGGGGUGCUCGAGUGGCGAACGGGUGAGUAACACGUGAGUAACCUGCCCUUGACUUUGGGAUAACUUCAGGAAACUGGGGCUAAUACCGGAUAGGAGCUCCUGCUGCAUGGUGGGGGUUGGAAAGUUUCGGCGGUUGGGGAUGGACUCGCGGCUUAUCAGCUUGUUGGUGGGGUAGUGGCUUACCAAGGCUUUGACGGGUAGCCGGCCUGAGAGGGUGACCGGCCACAUUGGGACUGAGAUACGACCCAGACUCCUACGGGAGGCAGCAGUGGGGAAUAUUGCACGAUGGGCGGAAGCCUGAUGCAGCAACGCCGCGUGCGGGAUAACGGCCUUCGGGUUGUAAACCGCUUUCGCCUGUGACGAAGCGUGAGUGACGGUAAUGGGUAAAGAAGCACCGGCUAACUACGUG
rnacentral:rRNA from 1 species